rnacentral:lncRNA from 1 species
CAUAGAGCUUAUUUUGUUUCUCUUUAUCCACUCUAUUGAGAGAGUAUUUGUUGUAAAAGAGAGUUGUUUGAGAAGAACAUAUCUUCUCAUUUGUCGGGGUUGCUAAGUACCCAAAGUCUUAGUGGUUGAAGUCUUGGGGUGAGGUAUCCUCAAGAAAGUAAAGUCUUAAGGUGCGGUAUCCUUGAGCAACUGUAACGGUUUGUUAAGCA